rnacentral:ncRNA from 1 species
UAUAUUUGCAAGGAACAGGCGCCUAGUUACUAGGUAGCCGGGCGUAAUGCAGCAGAGUAAUGCCUGUGGGACCAUC